UAUUUUAUGAAAUGUUCUUUAAUUUGGGUUUCUGAUAGUUCCUUACGAUGGGAUUCAGAUGAUACUUUUCCAGCUGGAACAUUGUGUAAGUGGAGGCCAACAAUAGCUGCCCUUUGGUAGUGGAUUAUUUCUGGUUGUCUGAUUCAAGUGUAGUCUGGCUUCUUCAGUAUAUCGUUUUGUUUGUUUGUUUUUUGAGACAGGCUCUUGCUGUGUCACCUAGGCUGGAGUGCAGUGGCGUGAUGUAGUUCACUGCAGCCUCAAACUUCAGGGCUCAAGCAAUCCUCCUGCCUCAGCCUCCUGAGUAGCCG
rnacentral:lncRNA from 10 species